rnacentral:ribozyme from 1 species
AAAAUGAACGAUAACAGAAGAAAAAAAGCAACCACCACCCCCCUAACGCAAAAAUCGUAAUAUUUUUUUUUGCAGUUUCUUAAACUAAAGUUACUUUUUUUUCAAUUUUAUUUUUUCCG